rnacentral:lncRNA from 1 species
CGCGAGAAUGUGGUGGUAACGGAAGCUUGCAGCGCGACAACGGCAGCGUCUUCCCGGCGGCUUCACGGCGGCACUGUGGCUGGUCGGCGCGACAUGGUGGUUGCGGUGUAGGGAAGAUGGUGGUGGCCGGCGGCUAGGGUUUGGUUAGAUUAGGGUUUCUCUGUUAGAGAAAAUGGUGAUGACGUGGCAUGAGGGAGUUAGGUGGCAUGUUCUAAGUGGUUGGA